CAAUAGCGUAUAUUAAAGCUGUUGCGGUUAAAAAGCUCGUAGUUGGAUUUCUGUCAAGGACAACUGGCCCGCCCUCCGGGUGAGCACAUAGUUUGGUCUUGACAUCUUGCUGGAAGCUGUUGCUGCACUUGGCUGUGUGGCGCAGUGUUCAGCACUUUCACUUUGAGGAAAUUGGAGUGUUUCAAGCAGGCACAUGCCUUUGGACACAGUAGCAUGGAAUAAUUAGAUUGGGCUUUUGCUCCAAUUUGUCGGUUUCUGGAGCUGAGGUGAGUAUUAAUGGGGAUUGUUGGGGGCAUCCGAAUUUAGCCGUCAGAGGUGAAAUUCUUGGAUCUGCUAAAGACGGACAACUGCGAAAGCGUUUGCCCAGGAUGUUUUCAUUGA
rnacentral:rRNA from 1 species